rnacentral:rRNA from 1 species
AUGGCGGCGGCGACGGCGACGGUGCAGGCGCAGCCAGGACUCGACGCGCGCGAGUGGGACGAGGCGGCGUACCGGCGGGGCAUCCUGCGGGAGCGCGACCUCUCCUGCCGCACCCUCUUCCGCGCCGUCUUCUACGACCAGCGCGACGAACCCGACCCGGACGUCCUCCUCGCCGCCGCCUCCAGCGACGGCUCCCUCGCGUCCUUCUCGCUGUCCUCCUGCAUCGCCUCCUCCGCCUCCGCCCACGCCGCCCCCCAGCCGGCCGCCGCCGCGCUGGUCGACCCCGUCUGCAUCGUCCAAGCGCAUAGCGGCCCCGUCUACGACGCCAAGUUCUACAACGAUCCGAUUCAGCCGCUGCUCUUCAGCUGCGGGGAUGACGGCCACAUUCGGGGUUGGAGAUGGCACGAGAUGCAGAGCUGCCUUCUGCCACUCUCUCUGCAAGGGGAUCAUGUUGAACCAAUACUUGACUUGGUUAACCCUCAGCAUGAAGGCCCUUGGGGUGCACGGUCUCCAAUACCAGAAAAUAAUGCCAUUGCAAUUAGCAAACAGGAUGGAUCUCUUUUCGCAGCAGCGGGUGAUGCAUGUGCUUAUUGCUGGGAUGUGGAAAGUGGCAAGUGUAAAAUGACCUUUAAGGGGCAUACUGACUAUUUGCAUAGUAUCGCAGUUCGUGAGGCAAACCACCAGGUGGUAACUGGAUCAGAAGAUGGGACAGCCCGCAUCUGGGAUUGCAGAAGUGGGAAGUGUACGCAGACGAUACGUCCAGUACAGAACAAGAAAACUGAGGGCUCGUGGGUCGGUUGCAUUGCCAUUGAUGCGAGUGAAAGUUGGCUGGCUUGUGGUACUUCUAGUGGUAUAUCAGUUUGGAGUCUUCUUUCAAAUGAGUGCAUCUUUAACGCAGAUUGUGGUGCUCCUGUUCAAGAUUUGUUGUUUGACAAAAAUCAAAUUUUAGCGGUCGGCGCUGAACCUGCUCUCUCCCGUUUCACGAUCAACGGGGUUGUUGUUUCGCAAAUAAAGUGCGCUCCUCCAUCGGCAUUUUCUGUCUCCAUGCAUUCGUCCGGGAUGGCAGCUGUUGCUGGGCAUGGGGGUCUGGUGGAUGUCAUCUCUGGAUUUGGGAGCCAUCUCUGCGCGUUUCGCUGCCGUGGCCUGGAUAGGUAA